GGCGGGUUCGAAGGUAGUGCGUUAUCUCAGUUGACUGUUCUCGUCAGUCAUAGAUAGAACUUCCUGGUCCUACUCUUUUCCCCCUUUCUCACUAUUGCACUUGACUUGUCUAAA
ensembl:misc_RNA Y_RNA Y RNA